rnacentral:rRNA from 1 species
GACGAACGCUGGCGGCGUGCUUAACACAUGCAAGUCGAACGGAAAGGCCCUGCUUUUGUGGGGUGCUCGAGUGGCGAACGGGUGAGUAACACGUUAGUAACCUGCCCUUGACUUUGGGAUAACUUCAGGAAACUGGGGCUAAUACCGGAUAGGAGCUCCUGCUGCAUGGUGGGGGUUGGAAAGUUUCGGCGGUUGGGGAUGGACUCGCGGCUUAUCAGCUUGUUGGUGGGGUAGUGGCUUACCAAGGCUUUGACGGGUAGCCGGCCUGCGAGGGUGACCGGCCACAGUGGGACUGAGAUACGGCCCAGACUCCUACGGGAGGAAGAAGUGGGGAAUAUGGCACAAUGGGCGGAAGCCUGAUGCAGCAACGCCGCGGGCGGGAUGACGGGCUUCGGGUUGUAAACCGCUGUCGCCUGUGACGAAGCGUGAGUGACGGUAAUGGGUAAAGAAGCACCGGCUAACUACGUG